ACAGCAGUCGCCGCGGUAAUACGAAGGGUGCAAGCGUUAAUCGGAAUUACUGGGCGUAAAGCGUGCGUAGGCGGUGAGUUAAGUCUGCUGUGAAAUCCCCGGGCUCAACCUGGGAAUGGCAAUGGAUACUGGCAAGCUAGAGUGUGUCAGAGGAUGGUGGAAUUCCCGGUGUAGCGGUGAAAUGCGUAGAGAUCGGGAGGAACAUCAGUGGCGAAGGCGGCCAUCUGGGACAACACUGACGCUGAGGCACGAAAGCGUGGGGAGCAAACAGGAUUAGAUACCCCCGUAGUCCCUGUCUCUUAUAC
rnacentral:rRNA from 1 species